CUGCGCAGGCGCUGUGGCGGGCAAGCUGUGCUGCUCCUCUGCUGCUGUCGUGAAGGAGCGUGUGCCACGUUGGCAGCCACACGCCACAUCCCAGGCGCUGUGCUCCUCUGCUCUAGUCGAGAUGCCACAUGCAGCACAGCAGGCAUCAGUGAUUUAGGACCGAGUUGUUUUCAUGGAAAAAGAAAUAGAACCUGUUUGUGACAGAGAAAGCCACCUCCUCGGCAGAUGGCCCCACCCCUCCAAUGUCUUUAGCUGGGAAACUUAAACCCGACCUUUUCAGUGUGAAAGCUCUGCCUUCGUCAGGUAAAAAGAAUGCAUCAAACCCAGCAUGGGAGUAUCAGGGAAGGCAACCUGGAAGAGUGACAUUUUGGCUGGCAGAAAACAGAAAAAUACAAAGAAGAAAACAGAAAACAGCUCUAAUCCCAUCUUUCCAGUGAUUUCCUUCUAGAUUUUUUUAUCACUAUUUUUAACUAAACUGUAUGUACAGUGUG